rnacentral:rRNA from 1 species
GACGAAGGGGGCUAGCGUUGUUCGGAAUUACUGGACGUAAAGCGCGUGUAGGCGGUUGUUCAAGUCAGGUGUGAAAGCCUUGAGCUCAACCCCGGAACGGCACCCGAUACUCCGAGGCUCGAGACCGGGAGAGGAGGGUGGAAUACCCAGUGUAGAGGUGAAAUUCGUAGAUAUUGGGUGGAACACCGGGUGGCGAAAGCGGCUCUCUGGCCCGGUUCUGACGCUGAGGCGCGAAAGCGUGGGGAGCAAACAGG